AUUGAACGCUGGCGGCAUGCCUUACACAUGCAAGUCGAACGGCAGCACGGGAGCAAUCCUGGUGGCGAGUGGCGAACGGGUGAGUAAUGUAUCGGAACGUACCUUCAGUGGGGGAUAACGUAGCGAAAGUUACGCUAAUACCGCAUAUUCUGUGAGCAGGAAAGCAGGGGAUCGCAAGACCUUGCGCUGAUUGAGCGGCCGAUAUCAGAUUAGCUAGUUGGUGAGGUAAAGGCUCACCAAGGCGACGAUCUGUAGCGGGUCUGAGAGGAUGAUCCGCCACACUGGAACUGAGACACGGUCCAGACUCCUACGGGAGGCAGCAGUGGGGAAUUUUGGACAAUGGGCGCAAGCCUGAUCCAGCCAUGCCGCGUGAGUGAAGAAGGCCUUCGGGUUGUAAAGCUCUUUCAGCCGGGAAGAAAACGCAUGGGUUAAUACCCUGUGUGGAUGUCGGUACCGGAAUAAGAAGCACCGGCUAACUACGUG
rnacentral:rRNA from 1 species